rnacentral:rRNA from 1 species
GACGAACGCUGGCGGCGUGCUUAACACAUGCAAGUCGAACGGAAAGGCCCUGCUUUUGUGGGUUGCUCGAGUGGCGAACGGGUGAGUAACACGUGAGUAACCUGCCCUUGACUUUGGGAUAACUUCAGGAAACUGGGGCUAAUACCGGAUAGGAGCUCCUGCUGCAUGGUGGGGGUUGGAAAGUUUCGGCGGUUGGGGAUGGACUCGCGGCUUAUCAGCUUGUUUGUGGGGUAGUGGCUUACCAAGGCUUUGACGGGUAGCCGGCCUGAGAGGGUGACCGGCCACCUUGGGACUGAGAUACGGCCCAGAAUCCUACGGGAGGCAGCAGUGGGGAAUAUUGCACAAUGGGCGGAAGCCUGAUGCAGCAACGCCGCGUGCGGGAUGACGGCCUUCGGGUUGUAAACCGCUUUCGCAUGUGACGAAGCGUGAGUGACGGUAAUGGGUAAAGAAGCACCGGCUAACUACGUG